GUGGGGAAUCUUAGACAAUGGGGGAAACCCUGAUCUAGCCAUGCCGCGUGAUCGAUGAAGGCCUUAGGGUUGUAAAGAUCUUUCAGGUGGGAAGAUAAUGACUGUACCACCAGAAGAAGCCCCGGCUAACUCCGUGCCAGCAGCCGCGGUAAUACGGAGGGGGCUAGCGUUGUUCGGAAUUACUGGGCGUAAAGCGCACGUAGGCGGAUUGGAAAGUUGGGGGUGAAAUCCCGGGGCUCAACCCCGGAACUGCCUUCAAAACUCCCAGUCUUGAGUUCGAGAGAGGUGAGGGGAAUUCCGAGUGUAGAGGUGAAAUUCGUAGAUAUUCGGAGGAACACCAGUGGCGAAGGCGGCUCACUGGCUCGAUACUGACGCUGAGGUGCGAAAGCGUGGGGAGCAAACAGGAUUAGAAACCCCAGUAGUCC
rnacentral:rRNA from 1 species